UCCAGACAAACCCGUUAGCAAUAGGACACACGAAACUGUGGGUGUUCUAAAAGGGGACACUGUAGUUUUAAAUUGCUCAGCUGAUGGUAAUCCAGCCCCAGAGUACAGAUGGGAGCAUUCUGGAGCUGGUAAUGUGGUAUCAUCACACACCAACGGUGUUUUCACCAUCACCGGAAUCACAAAAGAAAACAGUGGAAAUUACACAUGCAGUGCCAGCAAUACCGUGGGGAGUCACAGCGUAACAUUCACAGUGGAAGUUAUAGAGGACUAUCUGCCCAUCAUCGCCGGGAUGGUGGCCGUGGUCGUCGUCAUUAUCUGCUUGAUUUUCGCGUUCAUCUACUCGGUGUACUACAAGAACACCAAAAUGGGACGCUACAGCCUGAAGAACGGGAAACCCUGCAGACAGAAUGGCUACGUAGCUCAGAACGGGAAGGAAGUGGGCAUGACGAUGGGGACGCUGACCCCCUGCGUGAAGAAGGACUUGAUAGACGUGGCCUAAGAAGCCGGGCUGUGGACUGCAGAGGGCAGAGCCUCCGGCUGGAUGAUCCGGUGUCCUACACUACAGAGCCCUGCUGCUACCUGGGGACGCGUACUGCGCUGUGAUCCAGGCCUUGAAUGGACUUUCCAUCUAUUCCUUAGCCCCAGUUCUAAACAGUUUUCCCCGAUUCUGCAAUUGCACUAGCCUGGGUGGGAACGACACCCUUCAUGAGCGCGUGUGUGUCUCUGGACAGCCGGUCGGCUGCUUCUCUUUGCCCUGCCCAAGGCAGAGGCUGUGGUGCCGCUCCACAGAGCGGCGUGGCUCUCGCUGAACAGACGUCCCGCCCUGUCCUGCAGGGCUCCUGGCCGGCCCGAGCUGACCAGCGCCCGUCCACCGAGCCUGGCGGCAGUGAGCCGUGAGCUGAACCCGGAGGGAAACCUGUGGAGCAGCCAUCCCUGCAGGAGUCCGUGCAGGAGUCCUUCAAAGGCCACGGAGAGAGGUGGGCGCCACCCGGACGUGUCAGAAGGCAGAACAGUCCCUGCAAGGGUGGGAGCAGCAGCUCGCCCUGACGAGGGGUCAAGGGCAAGGACCCCAGAAAUGUGCUGCUCAGGAUCUGAAAGACGUCCGUCUGCGUGACGAAGUUUGAAGGGAGGCGGCGAAUCGCAGUACGGGCUGUUUCUUCCCCCCUUGUCUCAGACGUGAGGAGGAUCUCGGCACGUCUUUGGACGGUGGAGGGCGACCGAACGAUCUAGAAACGCUUUUUUCUAAUGAUACAGACAGUGGUUUCGCUGGAAGUCUCUCUUGAAGCUGAGUGUGAUCGUCUCUGGUAAAGUGAAGCUGGGGAUCUCACCUGACCCUCUCGUGCACAGCUUGUCUUGAGCUCUGCACAUCUCCACAAUUUGGCAACAUUUCAUUGGGCUUUAACCCUUGACCGAAGACCAUAUGAGCUCAAGACUGAAAUGACAAUGACAAAUGAUAAUACAAUUAAAUACUGAGGCCUUGAAACCUGAAAAAUAUAUACAUUAUCUCAAUACAACUGUGCCAGAGUGAAUCAGGAAAACAGAUGACCUUUAAUUCUUAAACAUCUUGCAAAGGAGCUGGAAUAGCUGACUGUCCAUCUUUCCAGGUGAAGAGGCAGGUUAUAGAGCAUUAGAGAGGGGAGGGGCUCCCCUGUGCACUGUAGCAUCCCACAAUCCCCACACAUAUUCUAGACCAGGGGUCUGCAAACUUCGGCCCGCGGGCCAAAUCCGGCCCGCUGAACUUUUCUGCGUGGCCCGCAGCUCACUACUGUUUGAAUCUCGAGGGCUACUUUUUGCAUCAGAUAUUGAAAAUCUUCGCCAGUGGCCUGGUGGCUCUCUCAGCACUAACGGUCAAUUGCAGAACAACACCUAUUGCAGGAUGCAUUUGACUUUUAGCGUAUCAGAUGUCAGCUUUAGCCUAGUUUACAUACGCUUCUUGGCUGAUUCUUACUGUAAAUUCAUUUGGAUUUGUGUUGCCUACUGUGAUUGGCUCAGUCACACAAAUGAUGUCUAGUGUACGCCAUCUUGUUUGAAAGCAGGUAGUCAUUUCAAACGGUUCUAAAAGUUAUAACUGACGAGAGUUCUCGCUGUAAGUUAUUCCUGCCAUGUCGAAAAAAGAAAGAUUGACGCAGAGGUUCAAAAAUUCAACGACGCAUGGCCAGGAGAGUACUUGUGUGUCCCUUGGAAAGAAAAGGUGAUGUGUCUUAUCUGUCAGGAAAAAAUCACCGUGAUUAAAGAAUACGACAUAAAAGAGCGUCAUGAGACAAAACAUCAGGCUAAGUGUUCGGAAUACACAGGAGGUGGACGGAGGGAAAAAUUAGAACAGUUGGAAAAAGUCGCUUCAGGGGCAGCAAAGACUGUUCCAGAGAAAAUUCUGUGAAAAUGUCGCAGCUAGUGAUCGAGUUUCGGAGCUUCUAUCAGCAGCUGGCAAACCCUUCAUGGACGGUGAGUUUAUUAAGCAGUGUAUGCAAGAGGUCGCAGAGAAAUGCGGCCUAUUCUAGUCGGGGAGUUUAUUGGCUAGAAAGAGGACUUCACUCAGGUGGCCCAGCAAGGUUAGUAAAACAUUUUUAGUGGCUCUGGCUCUAAAAAGUUUGCCGAUCCCUGUUCUAGAUGGUGACACAUAGACAUGGCUGGACUUUCAAGCAGGAAAUUCCGACUCAGCCCAGCUUUGGCCUCGUGGUGCUCCUGUUUACACAGAGAGUGGUGGGAGUGGGGAUCAAGCUACCUAGUCAUGUUAUUUAAACUGAUUGUUUUUGUCAAGAAACAGCUGGAUGAGGUCCUGGAUCUGUUAACUCAAUUUACUACCAACGGGCUAAUGGGCCAAAAUGGUGUUCAUGCCCUGCAGUUUAAGAGGCCUUAAUUGUGCAGCGUGAGAUUCAUUUCAUGAAAUAAAAUAAAUAGUUGUUUAGGAAGGUGGGGAAAAGAGACCUAAGGUGGUUUCAGGAACAAACAAUUGAAAACCACAUGUUAACACUCUCAAAGUUACAAAGGAGACAAAAGCUAAGAUUUAUUUUAAUUCCACCACAGAAUUUAGACUAAAGGGAGUCUUGUGGUGAAAGAUAAGGUAGCAUUUGGUAUUUUUUUUCCAUCUUGAUCCAUACAAGAGCCUGGAUGUUCCUGGUCAAAUCUGUUACCCUGUACAGCUCCACGGGUACUGUAGUGCAAAGGUUUACGUCUAUAUAAUAGACACCAGUCACUUAUAAACUCUUUGAAGCUUUUGUGAAAUCCAACUGAAACCCACUUUAUUCCCGUGCCUUUUCAGAUGAAAAUAUUGUAUAAGUGUUUUCUUGUCCUCCAUGCACUGAAUAUUUUGUAAACUAUAGUUUUAAUGUUAUUUUUGUAAUCUACAGUGUAUAUAAUAAAAAAUAAUUUUUCCAA